rnacentral:rRNA from 1 species
UACAGAGGGUGCGAGCGUUGUCCGGAAUCACUGGGCGUAAAGGGCGCGUAGGCGGCUUGACAAGUCAAAGGUGAAAUCCCUCGGCUCAACUGAGGAACUGCCUUUGAAACUGUCUGGCUUGAGGCCGGGAGGGGGUAGCGGAAUUCCCAGUGUAGCGGUGAAAUGCGUAGAUAUUGGGAGGAACACCAGUGGCGAAGGCGCUACCUGGACCGGUUCUGACGCUGAUGCGCGAAAGCGUGGGUAGCAAACAGG